AGCUGAUUAUCAGAGAUAAGAGUUUCUUUAAAUAGAAGGACUCUUAUCAAUGAUACGUCGAUCAGCACCCUGCUCUGUGCGCGCGAUUAGAGAAGGAAUGCUUUCACAUCCCUUCUUAAAUCAAAAAAAUAUUUAAAAAUUCAUGUGGAUAGAGGAUUCAAUUCUAAUUCCAGAACGUAUAAUGAGUAGAUAAAAAUUUUCACAAAUGGAUGUGUUCUCAUGUCC
rnacentral:lncRNA from 1 species